rnacentral:rRNA from 1 species
GGCCUAACACAUGCAAGUCGAACGAUAAGCCACCUUCGGGUGGUGGACAGUGGCAGACGGGUGAGUAACGCGUGGGAACGUGCCUUUCGGUUCGGGAUAACCCAGGGAAACUUGGGCUAAUACCGGAUACGCCCUUCGGGGGAAAGAUUCAUUGCCGAAAGAUCGGCCCGCGUCGGAUUAGCUUGUUGGUGGGGUAAUGGCCUACCAAGGCGACGAUCCGUAGCUGGUCUGAGAGGAUGACCAGCCACACUGGGACUGAGACACGGCCCAGACUCCUACGGGAGGCAGCAGUGGGGAAUAUUGGACAAUGGGCGCAAGCCUGAUCCAGCCAUGCCGCGUGGGUGAAGAAGGCCUUAGGGUUGUAAACCCCUUUCAGCGGGGAAGAUAAUGACGGUACCCGCAGAAGAAGCCCCGGCUAACUCCGUGCCAGCAGCCGCGGUAAUACGGAGG